AGUGAACGCUGGCGGUAGGCCUAACACAUGCAAGUCGAACGGCAGCACAGUAAGAGCUUGCUCUUACGGGUGGCGAGUGGCGGACGGGUGAGGAAUACAUCGGAAUCUACUUUUUCGUGGGGGAUAACGUAGGGAAACUUACGCUAAUACCGCAUACGACCUACGGGUGAAAGCAGGGGAUCUUCGGACCUUGCGCGAUUGAAUGAGCCGAUGUCGGAUUAGCUAGUUGGCGGGGUAAAGGCCCACCAAGGCGACGAUCCGUAGCUGGUCUGAGAGGAUGAUCAGCCACACUGGAACUGAGACACGGUCCAGACUCCUACGGGAGGCAGCAGUAGGGAAUAUUGGACAAUGGGCGCAAGCCUGAUCCAGCCAUACCGCGUGGGUGAAGAAGGCCUUCUGGUUGUAAAGCCCUUUUGUUGGGAAAGAAAAGCAGCAGGUUAAUACCCCGCUGUUCUGACGGUACCCAAAGAAUAAGCACCGGCUAACUUCGUG
rnacentral:rRNA from 1 species